CUAUGUUGAGUUUCGAUGUCCUAUGUUAAAGGUUGAUCUUUUUAUUUGUUUCCUUCGAACAUGGUACGCUCAUCAUACAUGGGUGUGGAUAGAGGAGUUGCUUUUGUAGACCAAAAGCCUAGUCAGAUAAUUUGUAGGUGUGGCUUGGAUCUUGACUCCUGGACAGGGUCACGGAGAUGGUUGGUAGGAAUACUUUGUAAACUGGAAAGAUGGUUGGUUGACAAUUUGUUUUGGUAUGUAUGUUUUACUUUAUGGAUGAGCAAUCAGGUACGAAUCGGUUCUGUAAUUAAUGAGUCUCAUUUGGGAUGUAAUAAGUUUAUUUUAUUGUAUAGUUAUCUUCGUUUGGGUUGUAAUAAGGCUAAUCUCUUGUUCAUUUAUUUUCGAUUGGGUUGUAAUAAUUUAAACUUAGGUAGCUGGCAUUUAGGGUGUCAUAGGUUAUGCUUUACUGCUUGGAUUUAUGGCCUUCUUAGGGCAUGUAUUGUCCUUCAACGAUAUAUGAUCACUUUGGGAGUGGCAAGAAAGGCUCUUUGGGAGGACUUCAUACAAAGGCAACACUAUUUCCAUAUGCAUGAACGAUAUGGUUCAUGGUGAGGCAUUCUAUGGUAAUCAUGAUUCGACCAGAAAUCAUAUUCAGUUAUUGUUGGGGGAAAAGUAGUGUCGAUGAGAUCAGAGGCUUGGAGAGUUAUUUCGGUGCCUAAGGUGAGGAUGAUUGGAGGAAAAAUGGUUCAUCAAUUCUUGGUGGUUAUUUGGUUAACGUUUGGGGUCGAAUUGUGUGGUUGCGCCAUCAAGGUGAGUGGUUGUCCAUUCACUUAUGAUGAACUUGUUUAAUGUUUAAUGAAAGUUUAGAUAUGUGUGAACUUUGAACUUUAGAUUCUAAAUUGGUAUACUUGCUGUUGAUAAUUGAUUGUGUGAAUUCGUGAUGUGUAGAUUAAAGUUUGUGAU